rnacentral:rRNA from 1 species
UACGGGGGGGGCAAGCGUUGUUCGGAAUUACUGGGCGUAAAGGGUUUGUAGGUGGCCCGCUAAGUCACACGUGAAAUCCCUCAGCUUAACUGGGGAACUGCGUGUGAGACUGGCAGGCUCGAGGGCAGGAGAGGAACGCGGAAUUCCAGGUGUAGCGGUGAAAUGCGUAGAUAUCUGGAGGAACACCGGUGGCGAAGGCGGCGUUCUGGACUGUCUCUGACACUGAAGAACGAAAGCCAGGGGAGCAAACAGG